ACACCGAUGCUAGUUGAUAACUUCUGUGGUAUGGCUGUGCUUUGUGCUCCCAAAGUUUCCUGUCUUGAGAACCUCAGCCCUCAAGGUGGUGAUACUGGGGACGAUCCAACUCAGGACACAAAACGGCAUAUAAUCCAUCAAAACCCCGCCACCUUGUGCCUAUACAAUCAUAGAUACAGAGGAGUACUGCCACUAAGAUUUCCCUACUUCCGGGGACAUAGAAUCUCACAAAUGCUCUUUGUCCAGGACAGCUCGGGAACCACGUGGUCUAAGCCCGUGGUGCAGUUCACUAUCACGGACAACAGAGGGCGCUUUACCCUUAGGAAGGUGAGUUCUCAACUAGGCCAUCGCAUGGCCAAGGCCAAGGAAGAUAGAUUGCAGAGUUGGCAUGUAUAGAACUUUCUGGCAAUGGCUUGACCUGGCUAGCUAGGACCCAGCAAUGUGGAACGGUGCAAUCACACUGCAGCUUGAAGGUCCGUGAGUACUGAGGACAAAGACAAGCUGCUUCCCAACUCUCCGUCCCAGCACAGAAGCUUUGGGUGUGGCCCCAUGUAGGGACAGGAGAGCCUCACCCUGGGGGCCUUGGAAGCUACCUGCUAUUAUCUAUCUAUCUAUCUAUCUAUCUAUCUAUCUAUCUAUCUAUCUAUCUAUCUAUCUAUCUAUUUUAGCAUUACAGUUGAUAGGAUCCUGAGACUGAAUUGGCCUCCCUGCUUCUUUCUGGGAAGCUGACCUCAAAGGCCAGCAGUCCCCUUUGGCUUAGGAGACUAUGAAGGGCCUGAAAAACCUGCCUGCCUCUCCUCUCUUACCUGCCUACCUUUGUGCUGAGGAGAAACGGGAUCUAAGAAGGAAGCUGACAAGAGAUGAAGCUGAGACAAAAUCAAAAGCCCCAGAUAAGUCCUUCUCUCUGUUUCUCCCACCCCAUAUCUUCAGGCAGAGCCAGUUCCUGUACCCCAGUAGUCCUUACAGAGACCGCACAGGAGGCCUGGAUGGAGUCUUCCAUUGGGAACUGCAGGGUAAACCAUGCCCUGGCUGCGGAAGGCUCCGGCUGAUGCUGGACGGAGAGAAGGAAUAUCUUUGCCGAGACAAGCCAUGCUUCUUCCUGCUGAUGAUCCAGUCUCGGGGGGUGGUUGGAAGAUGCUGUCCUUGACCUGAGCAGCCCACAACCUCAUCUGUUCCCUCAGACAUGCAGGGAUCCGCUUACCAAUAUGGCUUUCCCAAUGUAGAACAUGCUUACAUGCCUGCAGCAUUCAGGCUAACGGCACCUGGAGAAUGGGGUUAUCCUGAAGGGGGGCCCAUCUUAAUUCCCUGUUCAGUCUGAGACAUUGUGAUUCUCCAGCUUUCUGUAUGUAUCUGUAUGUAAGGCCCUUCUGCCAGAAGACACGCCUAUCAUAUGACUGACAGCAUUCUCUCCCC
ensembl:processed_transcript B430212C06Rik RIKEN cDNA B430212C06 gene